UGGCCUUGGCUUGCUACAUACUGCUGUGAAAGAGCAUCCUGAAUUAUGAGGUAAAUACUUGCUGAUGCCAAAGCUUUUAGCCUACCUGUGAAUUUCCAGGUAUUUACUCUUUGUGUUAGGGAAAAGAAGGAACACUUUCAGAAACUUGAAAGUUAAAUUUAAAAUUAUAUGUACUUUGAUAAUUACCUGUUUUCCAAAAGUAGUUGUCAUAGAACCUUGUUUCAUUCCAUCUACAUAUCUGAGCUCACACCAUUUAGGAUGUCUUAUGAGUAAGUACAACUCUUUAACUAGACUCAUCAAAAAUCUAGGGGUACUGAAAUACAUCAUUAACUUAAAUAUUGAUACCUAGGUCCUGAAUCACCUUUCCAGAAGUAACUGAAUCUAGAAAGCUUUUGCAUAUGCCCAUGCUCUUUACCAUCAACCUCAGCUUUCAAGAGGAAAUUCAUUUACCUUUUCCUUUUCUUACCAGGAAUAUAUUAUUACCACUACAAAACAAUUUGCACGUAUCUGAUUUCAAAUGAAUACAGAGAGGACUGGACUUGUCAGGAAGAAGUUGAGAACUUGUCACAAGCAAGGCUAUAUAUUCAGUCCAGAGUGCUCCUUCUGCGUCACCUUUCAUUUGUACACAUAGCAAAACUGAAGCACAGGAUUAAGGGAUUCCACAUUUUUUAAAAAAUAAACUGUACACUGACAAUAAGAUUAAAAAAAAAUAAUAAUAACUAGAGGUUCUUGUCACAGGUAUGUAGUAAAUAUUUCACCUUAACCUUGGUGUUAGAGAACUUACUUUGCUUAUACAGUUCUUUCUUAAGGUACUACUGCAUAGGGUGAAGCUAACAAACUGGUGAAGAAUUUACCAUGUGAGGAUUUCAGAAGUUUUGAUAAGGAAUAAUAGCUGGUUCUCUUAAUCUAAAACUAUUAUUAGAUCAUCUUUACAGCAGUGCAGCUAAAUCCAACAUAGGAAUGCUGAAGAAUGAGUAGAUCCCCAAAAUGGACUUUGUGUAUUCCCGAGUCUUCAAACAAACAUUUAUUUGCAAUAACAAUAUGAAUAUGAACUCACCUACAAAUAUCUUUGCUGAAAAAAAAAAAAAAAAAAAAAAUCAUUAUUGUAAUCAUGUCUUUCUUUUUAGUAAAUAAUUUUCAGGAAGAUAGUUUAAUUGAUCAGCCACAACAAUGCCUCACUAUUAUCUUUUUGACCCUCUAUGGAGUUAAAAAUAUUGAAAACUGUAGUAUUUAACCCCCCUAAAGGUUCACAUUUCCUUCCCUAUAAAGACUUCCACUUGUCCCCUUCUCUCCCAGUAUUUUCUUUUCUCUGUCCUCCCAGCUGUCAACCGGUAACUGCUUUUCUUCCACUUUUCCUGGCCUACCCAACUGUCCUGCAUGACUUACACUGAUCUAUCUUCCUUCAUACGUACCUCAUCAUCCACACCUUAUUUGUCUUUCUCAGACAAAUAUUAUCUCACUCCAAAUAUUUGUCUUUCACUCUAUCAAGACAAAAUAACCUUUCUGAUAUCAUGGCCAAAAGCAGACAACGACAACAAUGGCACACCACUAUUCUCACUCACAGAAGAGGUUGUUCCCUGUAGGUGUCCAGCCCUGCUUCAUGUCACCAUGCAGGUUACCUCUAUAGUCUAGACCAGCUCUGCUCCUAUUAGGCUUUAUCAACUCCUUGUAGCCAAUGCUUCUUGUUUCCCAAAACACAAAGCAAGCAAAGAUUCAGGACCAAAUUCAGGACUGAAUUCAGGACUGAUAUAAAAUCAUCAGUCCCUAAGGACAUCAGCCCCCAAGGACAUUUGCUGCCAGCUAGGAUUAUCAGUAAGUGGCAAUUUCUACCUCCCUGGAGGAGGCUGGGAUCCUGAACACUCCUAGUCUUUGUGUUGGCCUUCAUAAUAAAAUGACAAAUGAGUGCAACAAUACUACUAGAUGCUAGGUGGGGCAUAUAGAUCUUUCAUGGUUUACAUAGUCUUUAUUGCUUGAACCAGGACAGAGGAAGAUGAGGAGUUCAGAAAACUAUGCUGUGCAUUUUUAAAAUAUAUUUAUUAAUUUUGCAGACAGCACUGUCUUUGUUCUACAUUUUCCCUCCCAGGAAGACAUUAUGAUAAUCAAAUAUGGGGGAUGUCUGCCAGCAACAAGCAAACCAAUGUUUUGAGACCUAGCAAAAUAUACCUAACAUAACUUCGUACGACUGUAUAUAGAUUGAUAACUAAAAACCAGAAGACAGUAAACAUAGAAUGAUUGCCUGUUUCUUUGACUCAAGAUUUCUCUACAACCAGGAAGCUCUGCCUUUGUGAAGAAAGGGGGAGUGGAAGAGUGAAUUUCAUCUGGAGGAAACUGAUAGCAAUUACAAUACCAAAAAGUAAGAAAAAUGAUACCCUCACCUCCUUGAGAAACAGCUUUUUCAGGUAUAUCCAGAUGUGAGAUUCUUGCUUCAUCUUCUUAUUCUGACAUGUUAACAGCCUUUGCAGCUUUCUGCCAUUCACGAAUACAAUUGCUCAACAAGAAACUUCUCUUUCAUGAACUCCAAGACACAGCAACACUGCAAGCCUGACUUGGGUUCAGAUUUCAGACAACUAUAGAGAAUGGAAAUUAUAAUGAAAGCUUAUAGGUCAUGACAACUUUCUGUUGUUGUUGUUAUUUUACAAGUUAUUUUCAUACUGUCCUUGGAAGUUAUAAACAGAAAUAUCAACCAAGAAAGCAUUUUUCCAUCCUCUGGAAAUCAUGAUAUAAGUCUUGUCUUUUCUUGUUAUGUUGUCAGUCUAUUCUCAGAGAAGAGUGGUGACUUGCCAACUUUGCUUCUUGGAGAAUAAUGAGGUAAAGCAGCUGAACAUCAGAAACAGAGCUCAUGAUGAGUUUGUCAUUUGAGUUUAACAGCAGGGGCCCUGCACUUGGUAAUCAUUACUACUGCCUAAUAUACUGCAUGUUUUCUUAGUCAGUAGAGAUUAGAGAAAUGGUGCUUCAGACACCUAUUGGGAAUAGAGCUAAAAAGAAUCAUGAAAAUUUUGUGUAAAAAUAAGAAUGUAUAAUAUACACAUGUUAAUAUAUCUUUGCUGAAUGUUGUUGGCCUAGUAAAAAUGCUGCUUGCUGCUAUGCUGGAGCCCCACCUUUGGGAUUUAACUGUAGACGUUAACAACAAAACUCAGAGACUAUGGGCUUUUGAGGCUUCUAUAAAUUUAGAAACUCAUUGAGAACACUUGUCCACACAGGGGGAAGUUUUCUAAGUUACGUGCUUGGGAUUAGGCUACAUGAGUGCCAACAAUGUUAAUGGGAGUUAUUCUUGUCUCUGAAAAUAUCAGCCUAACUUUGUAAUAAAGUAAUCCUCCACUAUUGGUUUAAACACUUCAUGCCAAAUUUCUGACCUCAGUUACUUAUUUGAAAUCCAAGGUUGUUUUUUGGAUCAGUUUGUAAUGAAUCAGUGCCUGCAGGCAAGAAAAACAAUUGUUCAAUAAAAUCAGAGACAACCAGUA